rnacentral:rRNA from 1 species
GACGAACGCUGGCGGCGUGCUUAACACAUGCAAGUCGAACGGUGAAGCUCCAGCUUGCUGGAGUGGAUCAGUGGCGAACGGGUGAGUAACACGUGAGCAACCUGCCCCAAACUCUGGAAUAAGCGCUGGAAACGGCGUCUAAUACUGGAUACGAGACCAACCUGCAUGGGUAUGGUUUGGAAAGUUUUUCGGUUUGGGAUGGGCUCGCGGCCUAUCAGCUUGUUGGUGAGGUAAUGGCUCACCAAGGCGACGACGGGUAGCCGGCCUGAGAGGGCGACCGGCCACACUGGGACUGAGACACGGCCCAG